rnacentral:rRNA from 1 species
AGAGUUUUUUCCUUGGUUCAGAACGAACCCUGGCGGCCGCGUCUUAAGCAUGCAAGUCGAGCGGCAAGUUAUGUGUUUACACGUAGCUUAGAGCGGCGGACUGGUGAGUAACACGUGGGUGACCUACCUAAAAGUUGGGAAAUAGCCGUUAGAAAUAGCGGGUAAUACCGAAUGUGCUUACAGGAAGAAAGUCUUGUAAGGAAAGGAGCUACGGCUUCGCUUUUAGAUGGGCCCGCGCCCCAUUAGCUAGUUGGUGGAGUAAAAGCCUACCAAGGCGAUGAUGGGUAGCCGGCCUGAGAGGGUGAACGGCCACACUGGGACUGAGAUACGGCCCAGACUCCUACGGGAGGCAGCAGCUAAGAAUAUUCCGCAAUGGACGAAAGUCUGACGGAGCGACGCCGCGUGGAUGAUGAAGGCCGGAAGGUUGUAAAAUCCUUUUGUCAACGAAGAAUAAGCGGAGGAGGGAAUGCCUUCGUGAUGACGUUAGUUGACGAAUAAGCCCCGGCUAAUUACGUGCCAGCAGCCGCGGUAACACGUAAGGGGCGAGCGUUGUUCGGAAUUAUUGGGCGUAAAGGGCGCGUAGGCGGUUUUGCCAGCCUGAUGUGAAAGCCUGGGGCUUAACCCUGGAAUUGCAUUGGGAACUGCAAGACUUGAAUCAUGGAAGGGAAAUCAGAAUUCCAGGUGUAGGGGUGAAAUCUGUAGAUAUCUGGAAGAAUACCGGUGGCGAAGGCGGAUUUCUGGCCAAUGAUUGACGCUGAGGCGCGAAAGUGCGGGGAGCAAACAGGAUUAGAUACCCUGGUAGUCCGCACUAUAAACGAUGUACACUAGGUGUUGGGCCGAGUGGCUCAGUGCCGAAGCUAACGUGAUA